rnacentral:rRNA from 1 species
UUUCCUGCAGUCGAACGAUGAACCUUAGCUUGCUAGGGGGAUUAGUGGCGAACGGGUGAGUAUAUAUCGGAACGUACCUUGUAAUGGGGGAUAACUAGUCGAAAGAUUAGCUAAUACCGCAUACGCCCUGAGGGGGAAAGUAGGGGAUCUUCGGACCUUACGUUAUAAGAGCGGCCGAUAUCUGAUUAGCUAGUUGGUGGGGUAAUGGCCUACCAAGGCGACGAUCAGUAGCUGGUCUGAGAGGACGACCAGCCACACUGGAACUGAGACACGGUCCAGACUCCUACGGGAGGCAGCAGUGGGGAAUUUUGGACAAUGGGCGCAAGCCUGAUCCAGCCAUUCCGCGUGAGUGAAGAAGGCCUUCGGGUUGUAAAGCUCUUUCGCAAGGGAAGAAAACUUACACAAUAACACUGUGUGAGGCUGACGGUACCUUGAUAAGAAGCACCGGCUAACUACGUGCCAGCAGCCGCGGUAAUACGUAGGGUGCG